GAUGAACGCGGCGGUGUGCCUAAUACAUGCAAGUCGAACGCGUUGGCCCAAUUGAUUGAUGGUGCUUGCACCUGAUAGAUUUUGGUCGCCAACGAGUGGCGGACGGGUGAGUAACACGUAGGUAACCUGCCCAGAAGCGGGGGACAACAUUUGGAAACAGAUGCUAAUACCGCAUAACAACGUUGUUCGCAUGAACAACGCUUAAAAGAUGGCUUCUCGCUAUCACUUCUGGAUGGACCUGCGGUGCAUUAGCUUGUUGGUGGGGUAAUGGCCUACCAAGGCGAUGAUGCAUAGCCGAGUUGAGAGACUGAUCGGCCACAAUGGGACUGAGACACGGCCCAUACUCCUACGGGAGGCAGCAGUAGGGAAUCUUCCACAAUGGGCGCAAGCCUGAUGGAGCAACACCGCGUGAGUGAAGAAGGGUUUCGGCUCGUAAAGCUCUGUUGUUAAAGAAGAACACGUAUGAGAGUAACUGUUCAUACGUUGACGGUAUUUAACCAGAAAGUCACGGCUAACUACGUGCCAGCAGCCGCGGUAAUACGUAGGUGGCAAGCGUUAUCCGGAUUUAUUGGGCGUAAAGAGAGUGCAGGCGGUUUUCUAAGUCUGAUGUGAAAGCCUUCGGCUUAACCGGAGAAGUGCAUCGGAAACUGGAUAACUUGAGUGCAGAAGAGGGUAGUGGAACUCCAUGUGUAGCGGUGGAAUGCGUAGAUAUAUGGAAGAACACCAGUGGCGAAGGCGGCUACCUGGUCUGCAACUGACGCUGAGACUCGAAAGCAUGGGUAGCGAACAGG
rnacentral:rRNA from 1 species